CUGGGCACACAACCAGCGCAGGCCGGGCAGCUGUGUGCACACCCGGAGACCCGGCUGCUGCGUGAGAAACCUCUCCACAGCUGGAGAGUUUCUGAAGCAGACCAAAGGACAGUGAUGGCCCCGAGCAUACGGUGCUGAGCCCACCAUGGCAGCGUGGGGCAGCGCCUGCAGCACUGACAGCAGCUACACGCAGCCUUAUCUACCCCAGGUAACCAGAGGUGCUUGGCUCAUCCCAGCUCUCCGAGCACAGUCAUGCCACAACCUGCAUGCUGCUCUGCCCUGCCCAUGUCAUCCCUCAGCUAUCCAAAUAUGCUGGAGGAGUGAUUGCUACAUGUUGUUAAAUCCCGUAGCAACUCUCAGGUUCAAGGGCAAAGAGAGAAAAGAAUGCAAGAAAAUAGCAAGAAAUAGAUCAACAUGAAAAAGAAAGCACCAAUUUGGAAAGUGCUGUUGGAAUUUGACAGGAAUAACAGCCCACGGCCGCCCUCCCAGCAGCAGCUCAUUCACCUCUGGCAGCCACAUGUGGCCUUUCCACAGACGAAAAAAUACAGCGAAAACGUUCCUACCUUCCAUGAGGCCAAACCAGGGUUCCAUGGCUCUUCUCCAGGCUCUGAUAACAUCACCACUGCAAACACCGGAGAGAUCAUUCCAGACCUCAGGGACUACAGAUGCCACGUGGGAAGCGCCUGGGCAGCCGGCCGCACGCGAAACCUGGAUGUCUUCCUGCAAGCCCCUGGGAUAGCUGAAACCAGAGGGACAUUAAGCAGAAACCAUAAAGUCACAUUUCUGGAAUGCUUUAGUCAUCAAAGCUCUGUGCAAGUAAAUCUGCUGCACCUGGAGAAGAUGCACGGAGAUCUGACAGAGUGGGUAGCGGAGGAAUGCACUGUGGAGAGCCUGCAGGUCAUCCCCAGCACAGCCGGGACACCCAACCACACCUGUGUCUUACGCACGUCCACGAGAAGGCACUUCCAUAGAAGAUUUAUUUUCAGAAGCAAAGUGUUCCUGGCAGUGAUUUCAAAUCACACCGUAACAGCAACACCACCCAAGCAGAAAGCUUUUUCCAAUGGCUCAUCUACCCCACAUGUGCGCUCAGAGCAGCAGACUUCCCAAGUGUUCGUGCCCUGACUGGAUCGGCAGCAGAUGGAGCAGAAGCAAAUGCAUAUCUGCAGCCCCCACCCCAGUGGAUCACCAGUCAGGAACACUCUCAGCCCAGCUACCUGAGGACAGAAAGAAGUCAGUGCUAUGUUUUGCCUGACUCUCAGAAUCCCUUCCACAGAUCCUUACAUGAGAAGAUCCCAAAUUAUUGUCAUCCACAAAACCUACUUAAGAAAUGCUGCAGGCCUUAGAGAAACACUGUUUUUACAAACAAAAAAAAAAGCAUCAUCUUCCUCCUCACCACUUACUGGGAACAGCAGAUUGAACAUCAGCAGCUUAAAUAACCACAGCUUCAACCGCUGCAGACUGAAACCAGACCUAAUAUCAGAAGCAACAUUUACCUGGUUAGGAGCAAUCACAUCAAUUCACUGCGAAGCGAGGUGCUGUGAAGACACCCACAUGCUGAUUCCUUCCAUUAACUACCUGGAUUCAUGUUUUAAUUCCCAGAUACUAGAAAAACCUGUUGGCAUAAACAAUAAAUACUUCAUUG
rnacentral:lncRNA from 1 species